AAUAAAUUAAAUUUAAUUUAAUUUAAAAAAGAAAAAGUAGCUCUGAAGACUAGUUUGAAGUGACUUCAAUGAGAGUAAAAAGCUCCUCUAUAGUUUUAGAAUUAUUAGAAUAACUAACUAGAUUUUAAGCUUCUUGACAAUGAGAUCAAUGCCUCAUGUAAUUUUGAACCUAGUAUCCCUCAGUAAAAUGUUCUGUUUACAUAUGUGCUCAGGAAAUACCAAAUGAAUAACGAACAAAGUAACUAAGUGAAUUUGCAACACACUGUACACAUGACCCUAUACAAGUACACAGCGCUUUGAAUUACAAAGUCAUUUUAAUAUACUUUAAUCUCAUUUAAUUAUUAGAGAGAUUCUGCAUGCUUGACUAAAGAGCAUAUCUUAAUCCUUCUUUACAGGAAUGGAAGCUGUGGCUCAGAUAGGCUAGAAACUUGCCCAAGUCCAUGUAGCCUGCAGAGACAGUGCCAGAGCGCAGGUUAUCUGACUUCUCGUCCAGAAUUCACCCAACUGAAUGCACUAGUAAUGCACCAGAAAGAUGCAUUAUUCACAUGAAAGCUACAAUCUGAAGUGCUAACUGCAACUUCCUAAUAUAUAUCACGACCGUACAGAGAAUUCUAGUAGAGAUGGUAUCAUGUUUAGACAUGAAAUUGCAAUGUUAGGGCUAUGGGUCUUAAAGAGAGCCUGAUAUAGUCUUGCUAAGAUCUAUUAUAUUCACCUCAGCCACAAAAAGGAAUCCUGAGGGACUGAAUGUGGAUUGAAAGGUUAGAUACAACAUUAAAUGACUAUCAUAUCUGGAGCUGCAGACAGAUCAGAUUUUUCUGGUUGCAAAGUUCAUGACUGGUACUCACAUGGGUCAAAAACUGAACAUAAAAGACAAGGAAAAGCAAAUAAAACCAAACGGCAUUUCACUCAGCCUUAAACCAGCAUAACUAUGGAAAUACCAGACUGGCUGAUGUGUUAGCAAUGGCUCCCCAAGAAAAUUCCAGUUCUCAAUAGCGCAAGGCUGACAGCUAGCUUCUGCAGACACCUCUCCCACCAGCCUCUGUCUGGGAGGCACUGAGCGUCGUAGGCAUGGGGGCAAGCAUCCCCACCGCCAGAAAGAGUGGUGGGUGGAGAUAAGUAACUCGCUAAAUUAAACCCCCGGAGCAGUCACAAUUAAGAACUACAAUAGCUCUUAAACGAGAUAAUGACUACUGGUACUUUCAAAUUAUAUUCCAAACAUAUACUAAGGUAUUUUAAGAAUUUGAAAUAUUUUUAGGGUAAUGGUUUCUUUAUUCAGGGGGGAUAAAAAAAAAUCUAAGGAUGACAUGCUAUUGAAGCAUGUAUGCAUUAAUGUGUUCUGAUGUAUUAAAAAGUAUGGAUUGUUGUGUGAGAUAUUUCAUUAGUCUUGUCACAUAGAAUUUCACGUAAAAAUACUUAAAAUCCAGUUAGAUCCAGCUCCUUGUCAGUCCGUUGGACUAUGGGCUCCCCAAGGGCAAGGACCAUGCCUAAUUUAUCAUCUUGAACCCUAUUAAUGGUGCUGGGAACAUAGGAGGUCCUGAUUAAAUAACCAAUACACGGAACUUAGCUGACCUCAAAGAGAGGCACUAACCAGACAGAGCUAACAAGGAGCGACCUCUUGGUAGAGGUUAGCAGCAUCACACAGAUGUACAUGGCCAGAAUGUAUGGUCUCAACUGAGUCUGAAUGCCAGCUCUUCCACUUACUACCUGGGUGACCUCUUUAAGUUACUUAUCCUUUCUGAGCCUCAAUUUUUCCAUUCAUAAAAUGGCUUUAUUAAUGUAUCCACUGCAUUUGGUAAUUGAGAGUUAAAUAACACUGGUAUUAGAAAUCAAUUAUUUCAAUAGCCCCCCCCCCAAAAUGUCUUUUUAGAUUUUAAAAAAAUUUUCCCAAAAAAUUGAGGUACAGUUUCUAUACAGGUUUGAACAUUCUGGGCCAAUUCAAAACAAAACAAAACAGUAAAGAAACCACCUUUCUAGGCAAUAUGUCUUGAGUGGGUUUCCCCACUAAUUUCCAUGAAUCCCUCAUCUACAUUGAGUUUCUGACUCUUCCUAGUAUUGGUGAAACCCACUAGUAAAGAGCAUUUAAGAAAAAAGGAAGCUAACAUAUGGGGGGGUGGGGGCUGUCUGGUGACCUUUAACCUUUUUCUUUUCAUCCAUUAUGACAGGAUGAGCUAUGCUACUGAGAAACUAAAGCAUCACUGUUGAAGUUGCCUUUGGCAAAUUCUACUAGCAUUUUUUUGGCAAGUGCCCAAGAGGCAUGCUGGUCUCAAUUUACACUGAUUUCCAAAGUAAGUUUUAACUACGAAAUUAGUUUUCCUUUUUCUAUCCCCUACCAUUCUCAAAAAGUAACCUUCAAAGGAAUUCUACAGAGCAGAAUGUUUAAGAACCUGGGAUAUGUGGCCUUUUCAAUCUGAUUUCAAAUCCCCUAUUUCUCUUACUGGCUGAGGGCUUGGACUAGUUACUUAACUUCCUUGAGUUACAGGUUUCCUCUCUCUGAAAGCAUGGUAGUAAUCACAGCUACUUGGAGGUUUUUAUGGAGAUUAAAAGAGAAAUCUCACAAAAAUUGCCAUGGGCAAUUUGUUGUACAUAGUAUGUUUUCAAUAAAUAAAUCAUGUUAUUAAUUAUCAAACUGGAUAGCUGUGAUGUCUUAAAAUAAACAGCAAUUAUCCCAAGAGAAAUGUUCAGUGAGGAUACUAGCUGUUAAGAAGAAAUAAGUUUCUGUUUUUCUGAGUCCCACACAGAAUGGAGACGAGCACUACUGCGGACUUCACCAUUUUUCUUGCAUCCGCACUUAAGAGUCAAGAGACUGCAUGGAACGUUUUGAAAUGAAAAGGUAGUAUGAAGAUGGAUAAGAAGGAGAAUGCACAUCAAAUAGUGUGUGCUGUGUCUGGCAGAUAGCAAACACCAACUGUAAGUGCCAUGCCGUAAUUUUCUGUGUUGGACUGUCUUCACUAGUCUGGGCAUCUAUACCUCUGCCUUUACCCAAGUGAGGUUGCUUCACUGCCUCUAAACUUCAGGCUGGACCAUCUGACUUGUGUUGGCUAACAUGCACAAAGCUACCCUUCUACCCCACAUUUUCAUCAGACCAUAGAUUCCAGUGAGGAUCCUCAUACUUCAAAAGCAUCAAGAUCACCAGUGAAGAAAAUGGAGAUUCCUGCCAAUAUAGAUUGAGCUUGAGAAUGGCUAGUCCAGCACCUUCAAAGAACUGGAACCCUGUUCAACAACUUGACUACAACCUCAUGAGAGGUCCUGAACCAGAAUCAUCCAGCGAAGUCACUCGUGGAUACUUGAUUCUCAAGAGCUUUGUGAGUGAAAAUAUAAAGACAAAAACUACUUGAAGAUUGAAAAAUAUAAUAGCACUGACAUAGCUGCUUGAGUAAAGAAUACAGAGCACAAAAUAGGGGCUGCUUUGGGAAGAGAGUUGGAUAGAGGGGUAAGGUCAAGAGGACGCCGAACAAUAUAAGGAGAUUCCUAUUUGCUGUGUGGAGAUUGACUUUUUUUUUUCAUUCUGCUUGGUGACAAUCCUUAAAAUUUGUGGUGUAGAUGAGUCGUGUUAGCAUGCUUCCCUCUUGCCUACAAUGUUACCAUGGAUACUGAUACAUGGGAGAUAUCCCUCUGUGCCAUCCUAGUUCGUCUGCCACAGAGGAAACCCCAUUACUCAUCAUCAUAAAGAAGAAAGUGAAAGAGUGUUUCAAGUUUUCUGUAAAGUCCAGGCCACAGCAAAGAUGUACAUGGAGAAAUACAGGUGAAGAGGACAAAUCAGACCCUUGUUGGUAUAUAGCAGGGCGACACUUCAAAAGCUGUAUCUUUUCUACAGGAAGAAAGUCUUCCAGUUGGGGAACUUUAGUAUGGAGUCCAGGAGGCAUACGAAUCUAACAGGAAACCAAUAGGUCCACACUCCACCCACAAUCCUAAGGACUGCUCAAGGACAGCAGAAUUACUGGUAGCUCCUGCCAAUGACAGAAGCUGAGGAGACUCAUUCUGAAAAUGAAACAAAAAAUGCCUAAAAGACAUACUUGGAAUGCUGCACACCUUCAGAAAACUGCCCUACUUUACGGCAUUUGAACAAAAUCUAAUCAAAACACUAUUCACAGGCAGCAAUUGACUUCUUUCUAUUGUGAUUAAAACAGAGGAAGAACUAAUGCAAAUCCCUAUCUUUGUAAUUCUCUUGUUCCUUGCUGCGCAGUGAGGAACUUUGGCCCUCCUUAUAUUUACAUUUAUUUACGAAAAGAUGCUGGGUUGUUAAUAGCUAUAUCUUUGUUUUUAGUGAAGAUACUCUAUUGUGUUUUUGUAAACUAGGGCCUAAUGCCUACCAAAACCAAGCCAGGGAGAGAAAUGAAAGGAAAGGGCUGUUUCUGAAUAAAUCAAGUGGUGGAAACAUACACACUUGAAGAGUUACUAUACCCCAUUGGAAUGGGUUUCCACGGCUCCUUCCACUUGGAGAUGCCAGAGGAACUGGGAAUAAAAGUAUGAUAAGUAUCCUAAUUUUUAAAACACAAAGGAGGGCAUACCAAACACAGGCAGGCCAUUAGUUUCAAAUACUGUUUCAUACCACCUAAAAAAUUGAUGUGAAAAUUCGGUCUUCUUGCAGUUUUGCAACAUUAAGUUUUUUCCCCCAAGUUUAGUGACAAGCAUAUUAACCUGGAAGAAUGAAUGCUUUCACGUUCACAAAGUAGUAAUUCAUAUACUAAUCCCUUAUCAGUAUCACAAUAAUCUCCAUAAAUUCUAAUCUGUUUUAAUAAUGGAAUACCUCUCAGUAUAUUAAGAGAAUCCGUGGAGGAAAAUUUAUUUUGUAUAGUAUUUGGGUACAAUUUUACUGGCACUAUUCCCGGUUAGACUUCGUUUUGCCUCU